GGAGGGGUGGCCGAGCGGCUGAAGGCAGCGGUCUUGAAAACCGCCGAUGGGAAACCAUCCGGGAGUUCGAAUCUCUCCUCCUCCGCCA
rnacentral:tRNA from 1 species